CCUGACACAGAAAGUCGAGCAGAGCGAACAGGGCUUCGCGGUGUUCGUCGGGCAACAGCAGCACCGCGUUGUAGACGGCUUCCUUUUGCAAGUUCACCGGAACGUCUGUUUAGACGCAUAUUGUACAACAUACAUUUCUUGUAUCGAUAAAGAAAAGUAAUUCGCGGUUUUACGAAAUCGUGACUUAAUUCCAUUUUUAUGAAAUCUAACAAACACGAACUAUGUAAAGUUGAUCAAUGAAUUGUAUCAGAAAAAUUAUGCACAAUAUCAAAUUAACUGAAUGUUUGAAUAAACACACGCCGGUUGCUAAUAGUUUCACGCGUAAACAAGGCGAUUUACGAAUAUAGUAUGCGGUCUACAGGCGAUUCACGAAUAUAUAGUAUGCGGUCUACAGGCGAUUCACGAAUAUAGUAUGCGGUCUACCAAAAUGGCAAAAUAAAUAUAUAUUAUAUAUUUAUUUCUCGCAACCAUGUUUCCAUGAGAUACCUACAAUAAUAUGUAUAAUGUAAUACUACAUUAAAUUUAUUACUUAUACAUAACUUAUAAUAAUUUUACCUAGGAAGGAGAUCUGCAGGACUUGUACCUAUACCACACAUGUUUUGGUGUAAGAAUAUUUUACCGGGCGAACUUAUUUUUUCAAUUUUUUUUUUGUAAAGGGGUGCUUUAGCUAGUUAAGAACGAUGGCGCUAAAAUAAAUUGGCGGAAAUCAUUAGUUUUUAAGUUAUGACGACUUAGAAUUAUUAUACUGUAUAUCGUAUAGAUAUAUAAUGAUUUGUGCAGAGCGGAGCCGCGACGGCGCCGAGGAGCGUAGCGACGAGUACUGAAACACAUGCAGUCACAUUUUUUUGCAUUUGAAAAAAAUAAGAUCGCUGGUAGAAUAAUUUUUUUAAAAAAGUAAAAAAAUUAAGUCUUUGAUAGCGGAAUUGAACCCCGCGAUCUGGUAAGCACUAUAGUAAGUGUUAGUUACCACUAGACUACGACAAUGGAUUUUCGGAUCGUGUAAUUAUUGAGGUAUUUAACGUAUAUAUAUUAUAUACGAUAUACAGUAAUAAUAUAUAAAAGUCAAAAUAUUUUUAAAAUUUAGCCAUGUAGGUAUAUUAAUAACGAUAAUACAAACAUGUGGUGAAAAUUUUAAGUUUUUACAGUGAUUAUAGUUUUUGAGUUAACACCGUUUAAAAAAAUCGAUUUGGUCUGCAAAAACUGGUUUUGUCUAAAAAUUCCUGUUUUUCCGUCACUUAUAUUUUGUUUUUCUCGAUUUUUUUAAAAACUGUUAGAAAAUGGUUAUACUUUUGACCUCUAUAUUUACCAAGGAUAUCUAUUUACUUUGCCAUCGGAAACCACCACCUAAGUUUGAAAUUGAAGCAUUAUUUUGACUAGUUGUACUGUAGACACAAAAAAAACACACACACACACACAUCAUGGUAGAAUUAUUACAUUCAUCACUCCGUUCCGAUAUCUAAAAAACAAUUCUAUUCGCAAUGAGAUCGUACCUCGGCGGCCGACUUCUGCGCAUGGGCGUGGCUUCUGUGCAUGGGAGUGGCUUCGUUCCGCAGCGCUAGCCCACGAGCUUUUGUCUACUUGAGAAUCGUGUUAUUGUGGAACCGACAGCCGAAGUGAACACAUCGUUAAAUUUAAUAUUCAUACAUGUGCAAUGUGUAUUAUUUAAUCGCACUCGCAGCUUUAUACGACCGUUUCAUACCCGUUUUAUACCCAAUCGAAAUUCCGAACCGAUGUUUGACUAGGCGGGGGAAGCGUCUGACCGUCGCAGACGAAAAUUGGUCGCCGCCGAGGUACGAUCUUAUUCCGAAUAGAGUAUGGUAUAGUAAAAAUAACUAAAUAAGUACCUAUUAGAAAAAUUGUUUUUUUUUUUUUUUAAAUUAAUAAUUAACUUAUUAACUCAAUUAAAAUGAAAUUUAAAUAUUCUGAAGCCACAAAUCAUAAUAAGUUUUUAUAAAUUCAUAGAGAUAUUCAAAACUAUAGUAGGUAUUGUCAUAAUGCUCAAAUGGGUUAAAUUUUAUGGAUAUUUUAUGUAUCUAUUGAAGAACGUUGUCAGAUAGUUUACAGGUUUUAUACAAAUAUCUUGGAGUUUUUAAACAAUUUCUAAAUGUAGAAAUAGCCAUGACAUCUCAAAGUUAUAAAAAAAUAAAAUACCACAAAUUUUGGUUAUAAUGAAGAUUUAAGAGGUAGGUUGUGACAACAUUAAAAAAUCUUAGAUGUGGUAGUUGAAAUUUUACAUUGUUCAAAUAUAAUUUAAAAGUUAUAGUUUACCUAAACAUUGAUAGAACAAGUUGAAAGUAUAUUGAUGAUAGGCAGU